rnacentral:rRNA from 1 species
AACGAACGCUGGCGGCAUGCCUAACACAUGCAAGUCGAACGAGAUCUUCGGAUCUAGUGGCGCACGGGUGCGUAACGCGUGGGAAUCUACCCUUGGGUUCGGAAUAACAGUUAGAAAUGACUGCUAAUACCGGAUGAUGACGUAAGUCCAAAGAUUUAUCGCCCAAGGAUGAGCCCGCGUAGGAUUAGGUAGUUGGUGAGGUAAAGGCUCACCAAGCCGACGAUCCUUAGCUGGUCUGAGAGGAUGAUCAGCCACACUGGGACUGAGACACGGCCCAGACUCCUACGGGAGGCAGCAGUGGGGAAUAUUGGACAAUGGGCGAAAGCCUGAUCCAGCAAUGCCGCGUGAGUGAUGAAGGCCUUAGGGUUGUAAAGCUCUUUUACCCGUGAUGAUAAUGACAGUAGCGGGAGAAUAAGCUCCGGCUAACUCCGUGCCAGCAGCCGCGG